rnacentral:lncRNA from 1 species
AGUGAUGACGUAUUGCUCUUAAAGCGGUCAUUAAAUCAUUGAAUUUAAUUGUUUAAUUGAGUUAAUUAGUCAUUUUUUUAUAUUAAAUUGCUUUGUUAAGUCUCCGUGAAUGUAUUGAGUGAUAAAUUUUGAGUCAAAGUUUAUUAUUUUUGCAUAAAAAUGCAUAUUGUUGGUGGCGGUCAGACAAAGAAAAAAAAGCCGGUGAAUCAUGAACAAAAUGGCGGACAGACUCCAAGAAGAGCAGCCAAAAAUUAUUUGCAAAAUAUGGUAAAACAAGUACCAAAUGUAUUGAUGCUAAUGGACAAAGAAUCGUGGUAUUCGAUAGUUCAAAGCUGAUCAAACAACUGAAUAUCAAUUAAGCUUUGGCUUGAUUAGUAUGUCCUAAUAAUUCAUGAAACAAUUACUGUUAAAACCAAGAUGACAAUACAGGGUUGUGUCGAAAUACAUGAAUGUAGUGAGAUUAAAGUGGCCAAAGUAUUUGUGGUGUGCUGAUAAAGAGAUCACGAUGUAAAGAAUCAUUUUAACAAUUAAUUGGCUGUUUAGUCAUGAUGAUUAAGAAAAAAGCAAAAGAUGCUAAUGGUGAUGGUGAUGCAAGAAAGAAGCAGCAGUGGAAAAUUAGUUAAAUACAUAAUUUUUGAAUGGUGAAAGAGGCAGUAGCACGUGAUAAUUCAAAGUGUUGCACCUGCAGGUUUCUUGGGCAUGCUUGGGCAAGAAAACACCUGUUCAUUUAUACUGUUUAAAUCUAUCUUUCACCAUUCAAUGGUGGUUCCAUGUAUGCAGCAUUAUUCUGGGGCA